rnacentral:sRNA from 1 species
UACCGAGUGCGGGCCCUCUGGGUCCAACCUCCCAUCCGUGUCUAUCUGUACCCUGUUGCUUCGGCGUGGUUACGGCCCGCCGAAGACUAACAUUUGAACACUGUCUGAAGUUUGCAGUCUGAGUUUUUAGUUAAACAAUAAUUAAAACUUUCAACAACGGAUCUCUUGGUUCCGGCAUCGAUGAAGAACGCAGCGAAAUGCGAUAAUUAAUGUGAAUUGCAGAAUUCAGUGAAUCAUCGAGUCUUUGAACGCACAUUGCGCCCCCUGGUAUUCCGGGGGGCAUGCCUGUCCGAGCGUCAUUGCUGCCCUCAAGCACGGCUUGUGUGUUGGGCUUCCGUCCCUGGUAACGGGGACGGGCCCAAAAGGCAGUGGCGGCACCAUGUCUGGUCCUCGAGCGUAUGGGGCUUUGUCACCCGCUCCCGUAGGUCCAGCUGGCAGCUAGCCUCGCAACCAAUCUUUUUAACCAGGUUGACCUCGGAUCAGGUAGGGAUACCCGCUGAACUUAAGCAUAUCAAUAAGCGGAGGAAAAGAAACCAACAGGGAUUGCCUCAGUAACGGCGAGUGAAGCGGCAAGAGCUCAAAUUUGAAAUCUGGCCCCUCCGGGGUCCGAGUUGUAAUUUGUAGAGGAUGCUUCGGGUGCGGCCCCCGUCUAAGUGCUCUGGAACGGGCCAUCGGAGAGGGUGAGAAUCCCGUCUGGGACGGGGUGUCCGCGUCCAUGUGAAGCUCCUUCGACGAGUCGAGUUGUUUGGGAAUGCAGCUCUAAAUGGGUGGUAAAUUUCAUCUAAAGCUAAAUACUGGCCGGAGACCGAUAGCGCACAAGUAGAGUGAUCGAAAGAUGAAAAGCACUUUGAAAAGAGAGUUAAACAGCACGUGAAAUUGUUGAAAGGGAAGCGCUUGCGACCAGACUCGCUUCCGGGGUUCAGCCGGCUUUCGGGCCGGUGUACUUCCCCGGGGGCGGGCCAGCGUCGGUUUGGGCGGCCGGUCAAAGGCCCCUGGAAUGUAACGCCCCUCGGGGCGCCUUAUAGCCAGGGGUGUCAUGCGGCCAGCCUGGACCGAGGAACGCGCU